rnacentral:rRNA from 1 species
AUUGAACGCUGGCGGCAGGCCUAACACAUGCAAGUCGAGCGGAUGAAGGGAGCUUGCUCCUGGAUUCAGCGGCGGACGGGUGAGUAAUGCCUAGGAAUCUGCCUGGUAGUGGGGGAUAACGUCCGGAAACGGGCGCUAAUACCGCAUACGUCCUGAGGGAGAAAGUGGGGGAUCUUCGGACCUCACGCUAUCAGAUGAGCCUAGGUCGGAUUAGCUAGUUGGUGGGGUAAAGGCCUACCAAGGCGACGACCCGUAACUGGUCUGAGAGGAUGAUCAGUCACACUGGAACUGAGACACGGUCCAGACUCCUACGGGAGGCAGCAGUGGGGAAUAUUGGACAAUGGGCGAAAGCCUGAUCCAGCCAUGCCGCGUGUGUGAAGAAGGUCUUCGGAUUGUAAAGCACUUUAAGUUGGGAGGAAGGGAAGUAAGUUAAUACCUUGCUGUUUUGACGUUACCAACAGAAUAAGCCCCGGCUAACUUCGUG